rnacentral:rRNA from 1 species
CCUUCAAGGUGCUGCAUGGUUGUCGUCAGCUCGUGCCGUGAGGUGUCGGGUUAAGUCCCAUAACGAGCGCAACCCUUACCGUUAGUUACCAUCAGGUUAAGCUGGGGACUCUAGCGGGACUGCCACCGUAAGGUGAGAGGAAGGUGGGGAUGACGUCAAAUCAGCACGGCCCUUAUGUCCAGGGCUACACACGUGUUACAAUGGCCAGUACAAAGGGCAGCUACCGGGUGACCGGAUGCUAAUCCCUAAAGCUGGUCUCAGUUCGGAUCGAAGUCUGCAACCCGACUUCGUGAAGCUGGAUUCGCUAGUAAUCGCGCAUCAGCCAUGGCGCGGUGAAUACGUUCCCGGGCCUU